rnacentral:rRNA from 1 species
AUGAGGGCUAUGUUUGAAAAUUUUGGCGAGAUGUUAUAUGAAGGUGGGUCAUAUGUUCUGAUUAAAGUUGUGCCUCAUCGUGAAUACAUAGCCAGGCAUGUAAAGAAAGAUUCCAGGGACAAAUGGUGCAAAAAUGAAUACAUCGUCCAGGUCAAUGAGCUUGCUGACGAAUUCAAAUGUGAAUGCGGGAUGUUUGAACAUUUCGGCAUGGUGUGCAACCAUGCACUAAAGAGGGGCCAAGGGCACAAGAGCACUACAUGUCCGCAGCGGGGUGAUCUUCCAAAGGCGCCGAGGAAGUCGCCUUGCAGCUCCAGGUGCAUCCUGACAGGCCACAGGAGGACCACCUGCACCAACACGCCCAAGGCAGAUUUCUACAGUCAGAUUUAUUUGGCUUUUAUGCUUGAAAUAUGA